rnacentral:rRNA from 1 species
CAGACCUCUAAUCGGAAAAGACUACCCGCUGAGUUUAAGCAUAUCACUAAGCGGAGGAGAAGAAACUAACCAGGAUUUCCCUAGUAACA